rnacentral:rRNA from 1 species
CCAAUAGCGUAUAUUAAAGUUGUUGCAGUUAAAAAGCUCGUAGUUGAAUUUCGGGAUCAAUUUAUCGGUCGUGCCAAUGGUAUGAACUGGUACAAUUGGUUUCUCCCUUCUGAUGAAGUGUGAUGUCAUUAACUUGGUGUCAUGGGGAAUCAGAACUGUUACUUUGAAAAAAUUAGAGUGUUUAAAGCAGGCUUAGACUUGAAUACAUUA